UACGGAGGGUGCAAGCGUUAUCCGGAUUCACUGGGUUUAAAGGGUGCGUAGGUGGGUUUGUAAGUCAGUGGUGAAAUCUCCAAGCUUAACUUGGAAACUGCCGUUGAUACUAUAAAUCUUGAAUGUUGUGGAGGUGAGCGGAAUAUGUCAUGUAGCGGUGAAAUGCUUAGAUAUGACAUAGAACACCAAUUGCGAAGGCAGCUGGCUACACGAAUAUUGACACUGAUGCACGAAAGCGUGGGGAUCAAACAGG
rnacentral:rRNA from 1 species